ACACCAUGUUUAAUUACGUCAUGGAAGUAUCACAAGAAUGCUUAAAUUCAUCUUCAAUAAUCUUCAACACAUUCGAUGAGUUCGAUAAAGAAGUGCUACAAGUAAUUGCUUCCAAGUCCCCUAAUAUUUAUGCAAUUGGUCCACUCACCUCCCUAAGUAGGAACCUACAUAACUCACUAAAUUCAAGCCUAUGGAAGGAGGAUACAAGUUGCAUCGAAUGGCUUAACACAAUGAAACCCAAGUCGGUGGUGUAUGUGAAUUAUGGGAGUGUAACAGUGAUGUCGAACCAUCAUUUGGAAGAAUUUGCUUGGGGACUUGCAAAUAGUAAAUACCCGUUUUUAUGGGUAGUUAGGCCUGACGUUGUGAUGGGAGAAUCGGCUGUUUUUCCAAGAGAAUUCAUGGAGGCAAUAAAAGGAAGGGGCCUCAUAACAAGCUGGUGUCCCCAACAACAAGUGUUGUCCCACCCAGCGGUUGGCGUUUUCUUGACACACUGCGGAUGGAAUUCUUUGUUGGAAGCUGUAUCCGAAGGUGUGCCUUUAAUUUGUUGGCCUUUUUUUGGUGAUCAACAAACGAAUUGUCGAUAUUCGUGCACCACAUGGGACAAUGGAAUGGAAAUCAACCCUGACGUAAAGCGUAAGGAUGUGGAGGCUCUUAUUAAAGAGAUAAUGGCAGGAGAUAAUGGGCAAAGGAUAAGACAAAAGGCAUUGGAAUGGAAGAAAAAAGCUAAAUCUGCCAUUAGCGUUGGAGGAUCUUCUAUUACCAACUUUGAUAGAAUGAUCAAGGAGGCCCUACGUCAAGGUUGAACAUUAAAAUCAGAAUACUGUUGUGUUGUAUGUUUUGUGUAUGUUUUUCUUAAUUUUAUAUUACAUUAUUAAAUAAAUGGGUUAGCAUUUGAUAAAUCAAUAUUAUACUUUUUUUAAUUCCACAAGUAAACUUAAAAAAAUUGUUAUGUAUUUGGUUUAUUUUAUAAAUUUAUUUUUUAAUAUUUUACUAUAGGUUAUAGGAUACUUAUCAUUACUCUAAACCUACUUCUAAAGUCCAACAACCCAAUUAACCCUGUACAAAAUAUCUCCUUAAAUAUAAAUACAAAAUAAAUUAUCAAAUGUCAAGAUGAAUCCAAAAAAAUUAAAUUUCUUAAAGUCUCAUGCCCAAAAUCUCAUUACCAAAUAUCAUAAUUUAAAUACAAGACAUUUCACCUUCUAUAACUAUUGUUAGGAAAAUCAAGGAAAUAUCUUGUCAGGUUCUAACAGUCAAGUUCCAAUUCGUGAAUAGGGAACGGAAUAAGGUUGCUAAUUGACUAGUCAAAUAAUGUCUUCCUAAUAUGUCAAUUUAUUUAUGUUGAUGUUCUUACACCUUAUGUGAGGAGACUAUUUUUAGAAGACAUAUUAGGUGAUUCUCAUGUAUAAAUAAUUUGAUUUAAAAUAUUGUAUUGCUUUCUCUUAUCUAUAAAAAGAAUAUAAGACAUUUAAUAAAUAUAUCAUUCUAUAUUAAACAUAUUAUAAUGUUUAUUGAAAAGUAUUAUUUUUUAAUAUAAUGUGCCAAAUUGUAGAUCAUAAUGGGAUUUCCUUUGUCGUUUCACCUGUUACUUUUAUUGCCUCACUUUUAUUUUUUAUUUGUCUUCUUUUUCUUUGUUUUUCUUUUGGGUCAAAGAAGAAACCAAACAUCAUAAAGUUCUCUGUAGAGAGAAAAACAGAUACAAAAAAAUAUAUAUAAUAAAUCUAUUGUAUUAUAUUAAAUGUAUUGAAUUUGUUGGGAAGGCGAUCUUAGCCCUUGGAGAGAGGUUUUAAAGUGUUAUUUAUCGGAUAAUUAACUGAAAUUUUAACAAUAGUAAAUAUUAUUUUUGUGCAGUAGUUUUGUUUUUUUCUCCUCCGAGACUCUUGAAAAAUACAAGAGUGAACACCUCAAAUUGGUAGAGAUACAACUUGUUUGUAGUUUGAGUCCUCCAACUCUCAAGUAUAUUUUAUAAUUAAUAUUACGCAUUGAUAAUUAUCCCGUGAGCAUUGCAAGUUGUAUUUUCACCAAAUGGGGUGUUCUCCUUUUAUAAACUCUUUAGGAUCUUUGAUAGAGGCGAAAGACGAAACCUUACUGAGAAUAUUACUAACCAUUAUUGAAAAUUUAACUAUAUAUGCCUAACAAGUGAUACUUGGAAUACUUUUUUCGAAAAAGUUAAAAAGGUUGUUCAACAAUAUUGAAUUUAAAGAUACUCUAUAAUAGGAUGAAAAAUAAUAGUUAUAAUGUUUUUAUCUAUAUUGUUUUUAUCCCUCAACAAAUUAUAUGUAUUUCACCACGUAGGGAGGUUUGAUAAUGGGUAGCUCAUGAACUUGCAAGGGUUGGAAUGGGUAUGGAAGGGACUCUCUGUUGAGCUCCAUUUUGCUUUUGGUAAUAGCAACACAUUGUUUGAUGUAACGUUUUACCAAUAUUAAUGAAUUUAUUUCUUUUAAUAGUAAUAAGGCUAAAUUACACUAGUAAUCACUUAAGUAAUAGUAAAUUUUUUGUCAUUCAAUUAUAAAAAGUUACAAAAUUAACAUGAUAACAACUUUAAUCCUCAACAUUUAUAAAUUAUGUCCAUUUAGUCUUUAUUUUAAAAAAAUUUAACCCUAAACAACACAUUGUGUAAUUUGAUCUCUUUUUUAUUAAUUUUUUGUAAUUUUGUGACAUUAAGGUUUAAUUUUAAAAUAAUAAGAUUGUUGUAACAAGUAUUACACACAUACAUAUAUUUCCAUCGAGGUUAUAACUUUUUAAUGAGUUUCUUAUUUGCUCGUUUAUGAAUUUAUGAACCUUUAUGUAUUAGCAUAAGUAAAUUUUAAGACAAAAAAAAAAAGGUAAAAAGACCGCUCCAGUCAUCAAUUUCAAUAUUGAGUAAAUUGGUCUCUUUAAAAAAAUUGAAGCAAUUUAAUCAUUGUGAAUUUCAAAAGUAAACAACUAAGGAUAAUUUAAAAUUUUUUAUUGCCAAUACGAGAAGGGAUUGUAUGAACUGUGAUUUCCUUAUAUUUAUCUAAUUGCAUAAUGAUAAAUUAGAUUUUUUCUCUUGAUUUUUAAUUUUUUUCUUCCUAAUAAAAAUCAAAUCCAAUUAAAAAUGCUAAAAAUCAAGAAAAAAAAUCUAAUUUAUAAUUCUCCUAUUGAAAAGAGAUAAAGAUGACAUGAAAUCACAAUUUUAUAUUAUCCUUCCUCUUGCCAAUGCAGUAACCUAUCAAAAUUCUUGAGAAGCAGCUGAUAUUUUCUCAGCCUCGUCCAUGACAAUUAUUUUACACCACAAUUGCCAACAGCGUUAUCCUGUUUUUCUUUAUCCCCUCCACAAGUUAGGAAGGAAUACUCAUAUAUAGUAUCUUCAAUUUUCACCGCCUACUUGACUUCAUUGCUUAGUUAAUAUUUGCAGAAAGAUGAGUUCAAUUAAAUCGCAUGCAGUAUGUCUUCCAUUCCCAGCACAAGGUCAUGUUAACCCCAUGAUGCAACUGGCCAAGCUCUUGCACUCUAGAGGCUUCCAUAUAACCUUUGUCAACACCGACUUCAAUCAUAGACGGUUGAUACGGUCUAGAGGGGAAGAAGCUGUUAAGGGUCUGCCUGAUUUCCGGUACGAAGCCAUACCCGAUGGGCUGCCACCUUCCGAUUCCGAUGCGACUCAGUGCGUUCCAGCAAUAUGCGAUUCCACACGAAAAAAUUGUUUGGCUCCAUUCUUGGAGCUACUAUCUAAGCUUAAUUCCUCACCCCAACUGCCCCCUGUUACUUGCAUAGUUUGUGAUGGAAUCAUGAACUGUGGUACCAAGGCAGCUCAACUCAUUGGGGUGCCUUAUGUUCAACUCUGGACUUCUUCAACCGUUAGCUUUCUGGGAUUUCUGCACUACAAAGAACUAGCUCAAAGAGGCAUUGUUCCAUUCAAAGGUUAAAAAUUUUAUGUUUUCUUUGUGCUUUAUGUUCAUUCAUAAUAAUCUCUUUGAGGUUCUAUGUGUUACACGCACGUCCAUACAUAUUCUUUUGCAUAUUGAAACAAAAAUAUGCUUUUUAUUUUCCUUGUAGAUGAAGGCUUUGUUAGUGAUGGGACACUUGAGAUGCCCAUUGAUUGGAUCCCUGGUAUGCCUAACAUGCGCCUCAAGGACCUUCCAAGCUUUAUAAGAACCACCGAUCCCGACGACAUCAUGUGGAAUUAUGCCAUGGAAGUAUCACAAGAAUGCUUAAAAUCUUCUUCAAUAAUCUUUAACACAUUCGAUGAGUUCGAGAAAGAAGUGCUACAAGUAAUUGCUUCCAAGUCCCCUAAUAUUUAUGCAAUUGGUCCACUCACCUCCCUAAGUAGGAACCUACAUAACUCACUAAAUUCAAGCCUAUGGAAGGAGGAUACAAGUUGCAUCGAAUGGCUUAACACAAUGAAACCCAAGUCGGUGGUGUAUGUGAAUUAUGGGAGUGUAACAGUGAUGUCGAACCAUCAUUUGGAAGAAUUUGCUUGGGGACUUGCAAAUAGUAAACACCCGUUUUUAUGGGUAGUUAGG
rnacentral:lncRNA from 1 species